AUUAAUAUAUAAAUACUCUAGUUGCCUUAUACUUGAUUGCCUAAUUAUGACGUCUGUGUUUUGUAUCAAUUUCCAGAGUCCAAGUAGGAUUUAGCUCAACUUGUAUGCUAUGCAGCUGGCUUAAUAGCACACCUUCCACUGGCUGCUUUCCAUGCCUUUUAUCAUGUCUCCACCUGUGUUAUCUGAACUGCUCAAGCAUACUACUGACAAAUGAAUCCUGGUCUCAGGAUCGCUAAUAAGGAGAACCCAAAUGACAGCCUACACAUUGCAAAGAGCCACCUGAGUGGGGAAUGAUGAUGUUAUUAUUUUGAUAAAUUAGAAACAUAAAGCUGAAGAACUUUUAGUGUUUGGGGCUUUCCGGGGUGCAGAAGGAAUGGAUAAGUGAAGGGAUCUGGGUGAUAGCCUGAGGCAGGGUUAGAAAUAGAGCAAGGCAGUGUCUGGCUGAGCCCAAGGAUUAGCCUACGGGCAGACCAUCAGACUUCAGCGCAGAAAAAACACUUUUGAAACCCAGUAAUGGUCUCUAGGUUCAUAAAUAUAUUUCCAGCAAAGGAAGGCGUGGUAGCAAAUUGCACCUCAGACACAUUCCAAUAUGGGGGAACAUCCAGAGCAUAGAACUUUAGCCCUAAAAGGGAUCUUACCAGCUCAUACCAAUUCACCUUUAUAACCUGUUUUUCUGACACUUCCAACAGAUUGAUUUAUAAAAUGUCCCCGGGAAAAAAAUCAAUAAAUAAUGAUAGUACUAGAUUAUUACCCAUACAUUAAAAUAAGAAGCCACGAGUUCAUACUGAUUAAAAAAUUGAAAGAAUGAAUAAAUGGUAGGUAAUGUAUGGUUCUGCUGAAAGCAGAAUUGCAACUAAUAAAUUUAGAAUAUACAAAAUACAACAGUCGCUUCAGUAAGGAAUCAUUUAUGGAUGCUAGGCAAAAGCGUGAUGAGAAAUAAAAUAUUUACAUAAUUCCAAAGCAUCUCCCCACAUGAUACUAAAUACAAAAAGAAAAAUAAUAACUUACAGUGUAGAAAUCUGGCAGAUAUCACCUUAGCUUCACCAGUAAUAAGACCUAUGGGCAUCAUGGGUGUGAGAUAAGCAUGAUGUCACAAGAAGGCACAGCAGAAUUUUUGUGGCACUCUUGGCACGAAUACAUAGUCCUGAGAAAACAUCAGACUAAAGCACGGAGUACUUUACAAAUUAACACUCCAGUACUCUGGAGAAAUAUCAAGGUUAUGAAAGACAAAGGUCAAUGAAAGAACCUUUCCAGAUUAAAGGAAAAUAGGAAUCCAGGACAACAAAAUGAAUCCUCAUCUUACAUUAGAGCCUGGGGUGAGCAUUUGCUGCAACACAGGGUGAAUUUUUACUUCUAUUGCCUUGAGGACAUUCAUUGGAAACAUCAUGUUGCACUUGAUGGAGACUCUCCUGAUGAAAAGGCAUCUUUAUGGUAAGAUAAUCUGGCAUAUAAGUAAAUCCCACCGGCUCACAACUUUGUAAGGUGCUGAAGAGGAUGAAGCUCCUUAUCCCUGAAAGACCAGUGUGUUUUUUUACGGAAUAUCUAAAGCUUUAUGACCCAAGAAUACCUUUCUCAAGGACCCAGGAGCUACUUCUUCGAAAUGCAAUCUUCAAGCGAGACAGAACCCCACGUGUAUCUCCAGUUUCUUUGGGAAGAUUUGAUAAAAUUGCAAAGCAAGCUCUCACUAGUAUAUUUCAAAGAAUUUGACAAACUUAUUCUGGAUUUAUGGAAUAGAAAAGAGCUAAGAAAAGUCAAGACACUGAUGAAGAAGAAUGAUCAGGCUUAUGAUGAAAAAAUACAAUUGGCAUCACAAGACCUAUUUCAUUAUACCUCAUGGAUCCUGGAAUUUCCUUCUCCACUUCCUUCUUAAAUCCUGAAUGGAACUGUAAGAAGAAUAUAAGAAAGCAAAAAGAACACAGAGGAGGCAUUGACUAUGCAAAUUUGCCAAUAAUUAGGGAUUUGUACUCACUUAUCAUUGGAGGAGUGAUAUUAUACCUCAUUUUAGCCUCGCAGAAACCCUUAGAGCUGGCUUCACUGAAAGUCAAAUCCAGUGACAACUCAGCCAGAAUAAAUGAGUGUCCUGCUAAGUAAUGUUACGCAGAUUCUUCUGUGAAAGGAAUUCAAGACAGCCUUGACAUCCAUCUAUCAAGCAUGACUUGGAACUAAAGAAGAUGACCACCAGAAAAGCCAAUGAAUAAAAUAUCCCCAAUAAAAGUUG